AAGCAUAUCAAUAAGCGGAGGAAAAGAAACCAACCGGGAUUACCUCAGUAACGGCGAGUGAAGCGGUAACAGCUCAAAUUUGAAAUCUGGCUCCUGCGGAGUCCGAGUUGUAAUUUGUAGAAGAUGCUUUGGGAGGUAGGGCCGGCCUAAGUUCCUUGGAACAGGACAUCAGAGAGGGUGAGAAUCCCGUAUGCGGCCGCGGCCUACGCCCGUGUAAAGCUCUUUCGACGAGUCGAGUUGUUUGGGAAUGCAGCUCAAAAUGGGUGGUAAAUUUCAUCUAAAGCUAAAUAUUGGCCAGAGACCGAUAGCGCACAAGUAGAGUGAUCGAAAGAUGAAAAGCACUUUGGAAAGAGAGUUAAACAGUACGUGAAAUUGUUGAAAGGGAAGCGCUUGCACCCAGACUUGGGCGUCGGCGAUCAUCCGAGGUUCUCCUCGGUGCACUCGACGAUGCACAGGCCAGCAUCGGUUUGGGUGGUUGGAGAAAGGCUCUAGGAACGUAGCUCUCUUCGGGGAGUGUUAUAGCCUAGGGCGUAAUGCAGCCCAUCCGGACCGAGGACCGCGCCUUCGGGCUAGGAUGCUGGCGUAAUGGUUGCAAGCGACCCGUCUUG
rnacentral:rRNA from 1 species